GACGAACGCUGGCGGCGUGCCUAAUACAUGCAAGUAGAACGCACAGUUUAUACCGUAGCUUGCUACACCAUAGACUGUGAGUUGCGAACGGGUGAGUAACGCGUAGGUAACCUGCCUGGUAGCGGGGGAUAACUAUUGGAAACGAUAGCUAAUACCGCAUAAUAUUGAUUAUUGCAUGAUAAUUGAUUGAAAGAUGCUAUUGCAUCCCUACCAGAUGGACCUGCGUUGUAUUAGCUAGUAGGUGAGGUAACGGCUCACCUAGGCGACGAUACAUAGCCGACCUGAGAGGGUGAUCGGCCACACUGGGACUGAGACACGGCCCAGACUCCUACGGGAGGCAGCAGUAGGGAAUCUUCGGCAAUGGACGAAAGUCUGACCGAGCAACGCCGCGUGAGUGAAGAAGGGUUUCGGAUCGUAAAGCUCGGUUGUAAGAGAAGAACGGGUGUGAGAGUGGAAAGUUCACACUGUGACGGUAUCUUACCAGAAAGGGACGGCUAACUACGUG
rnacentral:rRNA from 1 species